UACGUAGGGGGCAAGCGUUGUCCGGAUUUAUUGGGCGUAAAGCGCGUGUAGGUGGCCAAGUAGGUCCGCUGUGAAAACUUGAGGCUCAACCUCAAGCUGUCGGUGGAAACCCCUUGGCUAGAGUCCGGAAGAGGAGAGUGGAAUUCCUGGUGUAGCGGUGAAAUGCGCGGAUAUCAGGAAGAACACCAAUGGCGAAGGCAGCUCUCUGGGACGGUACUGACACUGAGACGCGAAAGCGUGGGGAGCGAACAGG
rnacentral:rRNA from 1 species